UACGUAGGCAGCAAGCGUUGUUCGGAGUUACUGGGCGUAAAGAGUGCGUAGGCGGUUUCGUAAGUUUGGUGUGAAAUUUCCCGGCUUAACUGGGAGGGUGCGCCGAAAACUGCGGGGCUGGAGUGUGGGAGAGGUAAGCGGAAUUCCUGGUGUAGCGGUGAAAUGCGUAGAUAUCAGGAGGAACACCGGCGGUGUAGACGGCUUACUGGACCAUGACUGACGCUGAGGCACGAAAGCGUGGGGAGCAAACAGG
rnacentral:rRNA from 1 species